AAGGGUUUGGGGAGCCCGGAGGUGGAAAAAAAGAAAAAAAAAAAACUUGUUUUUCUUUUCUACUUUCAUUUUCCUGAAACACGGGAGAAAGUCCCGAAGUGUUGGGAGGAGACGGCGGAACUGAAAGCAUCGGGCUGAGAGCGAGUUUCUUUGUUCUUCACCGUGACAAGCAGAGCUUUCUUCCUUAUUGUCACUGUUUGGCUUCGUAAGCGGAAUCUUCUUUCAUCUUUUCCCCUGCGAUGAGGAUGCUGCGACGAUGCUCUGGGAGAAGCAGCGAUUCACUCUGCUCCAGGAUUUAGCUCUGCCCUCAGCUGAGCCACAGAUGCUGCGGAGAGGUUGCCAGGGAUGCAGACACAAUCCUACCUCCAGGUUUUUGCUGCAUCCCCGCUGCCGAGCGAGAUAUGGAUCAUAGCCGGGAUUAUCGCCCAUCCGACUGGGAGGAAGGGAUGCUGAGAUGUCGGGUUGCAAGGGAGAUGGAUCUGGGCGCCAGGUUUUCGUGCCAUCUCGGUGCCGUGGGGUGGGAGUGGGGUGUGGGGACCCCCCCAGUGAUGCGGGGUGCGGGAUUUUUCAGUUCUGGUGCCGCUGCUGUGCUCACGGUGAGGUCUCUGUGGCGCAAUGGACGAGCGCGCUGGACUUCUAAUCCAGAGGUUCCGGGUUCGAGUCCCGGCAGAGAUGAUCUCCAGGCAGGUGUCUCUUUUAUUUUACGUGUAUUCCUCCAUAAAUCCCCAUCCUGCUCCUUUACGACACCCCAGAAGGCUUCAGGCAGGAGAUGAUGACUUUUCAUGGCGGCGUCUCGGCCGCUGACGCUCGCAGUGCUCGCGUGCUCCCCAUCCAAGUUCUGCUUGUUGGACCUGUCUGAUGCUUUAAGAAAACUGCUGUGUUUCCAGUAGAAAUCCGGUGGUCAGGCAGUGGUUUGGAACCUUGUGUUGGUAUUUCGUUUGAGAAGUGUGGCUUGUCUUUCAAAUAUAUGGACAAAGGAAAAACAA